AGAAGCGCAGGAGAUGGCCGCUCAGAAACAAAAGCCUAAAGAAACUGACUAGAGAUCGCUGAAGGCCGCCAGAGAAGCACAUUCCAGCGCGAAUUCUCAGUGCCUUGGCAUUUCAGUGUGGUUUUCUAUCCAUCCCAGUACAGUGAAAGGGCUUCAGGGAGUUGGAGAGAUGGCUCAGCGGUAAAGAGCACUGACUCUUCUUCCAGAGGUCCUGAGUUCAAUUCCCAGCAACCGCAUGGCGGCUCACAACCAUCUGCAAUGGGGAUCCUCUUCUGGUGAGUCUGAAGAUAGCAACGGUGUACUCACAUAUAUAAAAUAAAUAAAUCUUUAAAAGAAAGAAAGGAAGGAAGGAAGAAAUGGUUUCGUGUUACCCAAGCUAGCCUUGAACUCCUUCUGCUUCUAACUCUCAAAUGUUAAGAUUAGAGGCACGUGUCAUCAUCUCUUGCUUAAUUGAUGAUCUAGGUACAAUAAGAAAUUAACAGCAGCUCAUGAUAGAACAAUUAUAACAGUAUCCAGUAUAGGAGUCAUUUAGAACUAUGACUGUUUGUUCCUGGAAUUCUCCACUCGGUGUUUUGUGGUGUGGCUGACGCAGCGCGUUUGAAAAUGUUGAGACUGAAGUUUUAGAUAAAGGGUAGCUACUGUAUGGAGACUGAGGCCCCUUGCGGAGGGACAGGAGGGUGAGUCAGGGAAAGGAGCAGUAACCCUGUGGUCCUGGCUUCCUUUGCAGUGCAGAACCUUCGGUCGUGCAGCUGGGGUGGAGCCCUGUGGACAGUCUUCUUAGAGUUACUUUAGACAAGCCGCAUAGCCAGACUGUCUCCAGGGCCACCCGUGCAAGUUUGUUCCAGAGGCCAGUUCUUCCUGGAACUGGGUGUCAGCUAGGGACAGAGAAUGCCGGGAGUGAAACUUGGCGGCUGAAGGGAAGAAAAGCUUCCAGUCCCGCAGAUCUCAGAUUGCACGGCUGCGUUGGGCGGGGCUUGCAGUUCAGAAAGAUGCCACCAGGGGACGCCCUUCCCACACCUCACACCUAGAGGGCGCGCGCACGUAUGUAUGUGUGCUCUGCAAAUGGCUUUUCUGUGAUUACAACGUCAUGCUUCAGCUUUCCUAAGUGACCUAUUCGACUCAGUCUUCUGCAGCAGCUUGGGUCUGUCGCACUUCUGAGUUACAAGUGCCUCUAGUUACGCAACCAUAACAACCCUUGACAAUGUGCUGGGGAGGAGGGGUAACUUUUCAAAUGCCAUUUGACUGUCAUUUGCUGUCAGGGUUCUUCUCAUUUGCUGUCAGGGACUUCUCAUUUGCUGUCAGGGGUCACAGUAUAGAGGUUGAAGAGGAUCCAGCAGAGGGACGAGAGGGGUGCGGGUGCUGACUCAUGAGCCCCAGCUUCUAGAUGAAUUCCACCACUCUCCAGAAGCUACCAUCGUGGUAUUAAGAGGUCCAAGGCUAGCCGGGCUGUAAGCAGGUGAUCUCUGAGGACAGCCUGAUCUACAAAGCAAGAUCCAGGACAGCCAAGGUUACACAGAGAAACCCUGUCUGGACCUCCCCAAUCUCCCCCUACCCCUCCAUCCCCUAAAAGAUCCAGGGCUACAGAAAAUUCUCCUUACUUCGCCAGGUGUCAUAGAGAACAGGGGGACCUGCCCACCCAGCCCAGGUAAGCAGAGGACAUAAGGGGCAGACAGUAAAGUGAACCCUAAGGUGAACAGCACCCGAGGGCCUAGCCCAGUUUUUGUUUGAAUCGCAUAAAGAAUGUCAUGUAAUACCAUAGUCACCGUGCCUCUAUGCAAAGACCGGUACUGAGAUGACAUGCAGGAUGCUGUGUGGUGUCUGUGAGGGGGACUGCGAGCCUGGAUGGCAGUCAGCACGUGAAUUCUGAGUCAGGGGCUGGAUGGAAGACACAGAGGGUAAGUCUCUGGUCAGCAAGCCAGAGGCAGGAGGCACAACUUACGUUCUGCCAGGCGUUCACCGUCAAUGCAAUAGCUUGGCUGUGACCUGGAGACCUGAGGAUCGCGGACGCCCGGGAUCCCUGGGUAGAACCAAUGUCUCUCACCCAGCUACUCUCUUUUCCCUUUGUAAAGAUUUUUAGACUUGGGCUGGAGGCUCAGUGGUUAAGAGCACUAACUGCUCUUCCAGAGGUCCUGAGUUCGAAUCCCAGCAACCACAUGGUGGCUCACAACCAUCUGUAAUGGGAUCUGAUGCCCUCUCCUUGUCUGAAGACAGCUACUCAUAUAUAUAUAAAAUAAAUAAAUCUUUUUAAAAAUUUAAAUUUUGGGGGUUGGGGAUUUAGCUCAGUGGUAGAGCGCUUGCCUAGCAAGCACAAGGCCCUGGGUUCGGUCCCCAGCUCCAAAAAAAAGAAAAGAAAAAAAUUUAAAUUUUAUUUUAUGUAUAUGAGUGUUUUUCUUGAAUGUAUGUGUACCACGUGCGUGCCUGGUGCCCAGGGAAGGAAGGUUUUAGAGGUCUCUGUCAUCAAAAGGAAAAUUAUUGCAGAUAGAGAAUCCUUAAGUUAGCUUUGCUGUUGUUUGACAAGGUCCCAAACUCACUGUACGGUCCCAAACUGAUUUAGAAUCCCAGGCUGGUCUUGAGUUCUCAGUGCAUGGGCUAACUCCAAAGCAGCCCCGAUAGGAAUGGGAAAAUUGAUUAAAACCUGCUUGAGUCGGGUGGCUGAUGCCUUCAAUCCCAGAAUUCAGUGGGCUGAGGCAGGUGGAUCUCUGUGAGUUCCACACCAGUCGUCACACCUGGCCCUGUACAGGUUUUUAGCAGCUGAGCCAUCUCCCAGGUGCCUGGUUUUGCUUUGUUUAAGGAUUAGUCUCAUAUGGUUUAGCAAGGCUUUGAGCUUUGCAUCCCCCUCCCCCCAACCUUAGCCUCCACCUCGGCCUUGUUCUGACAUGCGCACACUUAAGCCCUGUGUUUUGUAUUUUGUUUUAAUACCAGAAAAGGGCAUCAGAUCUCCUGGAGCUCUGGAUAGUUGUGAGCUGUCCCGUGGGUGUCGAGAACUAAACUCAGGUCCUUCAGACCAGCAGCCUGUGCUCUAAGCUGCUCCCACCCCUGCACUUUCAAGAGUACGUGGCCAAGAACUGUCAGUGUCAAAGGCCCGAGGGGAGUGGAACUGGCACCUAACUCCAAAUCCUUUCUGUAGUAGCUGGUGAGGAAUUUUUAACCCCACCCCCCAGACCUCCCGACUCCCGCACUGUCCCCCAUCUCCCCCUACCCCCCUAUCCCUCUCUCCCCGGACCUCGGCCGCCACUUUCUCCCUAUCCCUCUACCAUCCCACGACAUUCAGCAGAGAGCUGAUCACAGCAGCAUAUUGAUUUCCUGUUUGCAAGAGGCCUUCUGGGAAGUGGAGGGAAUUAGACCGCUUCUCGUUUGUGCUUGACAGCUUCCCUGGCGUUGUUGUUUUGUUUUUUGAUACAGAGUCUCAGAAUCUAGUCCCGGCAGGCCUUGACCUCACAGCGAUCCUUCUGGCUGGCUGGUCAAAAAAAAAAGACCCAGGACACAGAAUAGGGUAUAGGAGAAACUGUUCACAGACUCUCAUGCUGUCAAACGGGUACCUUCACGAAGGGUCGCAUGACGCCCGGGAAUGUGGAUCAUGUCUGAAAUCCCAGAACUCUGGAGUUGAGGCAAGAGGAUUGCUGUGAGCUCCAGCCCCCCAUUCCUCCCCCUCUACCCUAUCCCGGGCCACAUAGUAAGACACAGACACGGUCCCAAAAUGAAAGACUGAAAGAAAUUCAAGGUUGCAUAAAGCAGGCAUUAGUUCCUGGCUCUGUCUCCUCCAGGCUCCCCAAGUUCCACUGAGCCGGGCAGCCAUCUUUUCACCGGUCCUCAGCCUGUGUGUGGUCCCCAUCAGCCCCAGGAGUUCUGCCCCAGGCCAAUCCAUUCAGAGCUCAAAUGUUCUUGCUGCCAAAAUCCCAAGGUCUCCUGGUGCCAUGGACUUCCUCUGCUUGUCUACGUGAGGCUAUUUGUAGACUCAGGAGGCCGUGCCCCGACAAGGCUCUUCCAGGCACUCUGUGCCCCAGCAUGGCUCCACCAGGCACUCACUACCUCCCACCUGGCUCUGUGGCGAGCCUCCCCUUAGGUCUUACUGGGCCCGUGAGCUGACCUGAGUUAUGGAACUAGGGUUAUAGUUCCAUGAUCUCUUGGCUUCCCAAACUAAAGACUCUUCCUCUCCAGCUUCCCUCAAAGGCCCCGGGCUCUCCGCAUACCUCAUAGCACAUGAUCCUCACAAGACAUUCCAAGCUCUAUCGACAGAAGCCUGUGUGGAACUUCUGAACUCUGGCCUCCUAGACCAAGGGAGUCCAAAGUUCUUUCUUUUAGCUUGGUAGUGAGGUUGGGCAAAGAAAAGAAAAUCGUAAAUAAACUUCACUCACUUGGCCUCCCACAAGUCUGUGUUCUGAUGUCAGCUGCUGCUGCUGCCGGGCAGCCACUGUUGGUGGCUGUAGCGGUGGCCCGAAGGGGGUGACCUCAGCUCUGAACUGAAGGUUUCACUGUGAAAGGUCUUGAGGGCAUUUUCUUUCUCUCGUUUUUGUCUGAACAAAGUCUCACAUAGGUAGCACAGGCUGACCCUGAAUUGUUCAUCUUCCUGACUCUACUCCUCACGUGCUAUGAUUAUUCCUAUGGCCCACCAUGCUUGACUAGGACAUAAAAAAAAAGGGGGGGGGUUGGUUUUUUUUUUGGUGCCGGGGGACCAAACUCUGGGCCUCGUGCUAAGCAAAUGUUCCUUCAGUUUUACUCCAGGCUACAAGCUGUUGUAACUUCUCUCUUUCUUUCUUUCUUUCUUUCUUUCUUUCUUUCUUUCUUCUUUUCUUUCUUUUUCUUUUUCUUUUUUCUUUUUUUUUUUUUUUUGGAUACAGGGUCUCAUUAGGUACCUCAGGCUGACUUUCAACUCCAGGUCUCAAAUAACCCUCCUGCCUCAGUUUCCCAAGAGGCUGGAAAUAUAAGCAUGCACCAUAGCACUUGGCCUAAGGGCAGCUUUAGAAAAUAAUUUAUGUUGAGUCACGUAUAUACCUGGCUGACUGAGUGUACGUUUGAGCUCUCAGGGUCCAGAAGAGAGCCUCAGCCCCGUGUGAAUCUGGAGUGAACCCAUUAGGAGCUGGUCUGGGGGAGGGGGGAGGGGAAGGCCCUGGGAACUGAACUCCUCUGGUCCUCUGCUAGAGCAGUACAGACCUGCCUCCAGCCCCACAAAGCACUUUUUUUAUGUGGAUCCAUGAGGGAAGGAAAAAAAAAAAGAAGAGAUAAAGAAUGUGACGGUGAAACAGAGGAAAAAAAAAAAACCUAGUGACUGCGGGGGCGGGAGCGGGGGCGGGGGUGAUGCAGUGAGGGGAAAAAGAGAGAAGAAAGGUGUGAGAGGCGGAGGUUGUGGUGGCUGCCCAGCCCUGCUUGGAGGAGGCUGGUGUUUCCAGUCCCUGGGGGCACGUGGAGGCUGGAAGUGGCCUUCCAUCCAUCUCCUUCUCCCAGCGAGAUGCUGACAUCGGUCUCUGGCGCCUUCCCAUCUAUGCGGAGUGUGGAUGUGUGUGUUGCUCAUUCCUCAGGAGCAGCUGGGGACUGAGAUAACUCCCUCCAAGGAAUGUAGAGAAUUUGGGGGUGCUGCGGGAAGAGAAAGAGCUAGUGAGAAGGCCUCUCAGAGCUGUCAGCAGGACCUGGACAGGAUCCAUCUCUGAAGUAGCAGGGCUGGAGGGCUGGAGGAGGAGGGAUGGCAGUCUUAGAGAAAGAUCUCUGGGAUACUUGUAUGUGCUCACGUCUGCAGGGACCCUGCCUCAAAAAGAUAGGAAGUAGGGGCUGGGGAGAUGGCUCAGGAGGUCCUAAAUUCAAAUCCCAGCAACCACGGGGUGGCUCACAACCAUCUGUAAUGGGAUCUGAUGCCCUCUUCUGGCACACAAGUGUACAUGCAGAUAGAGCGCUCAUACAUAAAAUAAGUCAAAAGAAGAAAAAAAAAAGA